rnacentral:tRNA from 1 species
AUUUAUAUAGUUUAAUUAUAAAACAUUACAUUUUCAUUGUAAAAAUAAAAAAAAAUUUUUUUAUAAA